rnacentral:rRNA from 1 species
UACGCAGGGGGCUAGCGUUGCUCGGAAUUACUGGGCGUAAAGGGCGCGUAGGCGGAUAUCUAAGUUGGGGGUGAAAUCCCGGGGCUCAACCUCGGAAUUGCCUUCAAAACUGGAUAUCUUGAGUUCGGGAGAGGUGAGUGGAACUCCGAGUGUAGAGGUGAAAUUCGUAGAUAUUCGGAAGAACACCAGUGGCGAAGGCGACUCACUGGCCCGAUACUGACGCUGAGGCGCGAAAGCGUGGGGAGCGAACAGG